UGUUGUCACUAUAAUUGUUUUUUUUUUGCCAUUUUCUUCACUAGAAGCAGAGUACUACUUUUCCACUUAUUUUUAGCCGACGUUUUUUAUGUGAAGCUUGACAGCAUUCCGCCUGAAAAGCUGAACAGAAUACUCAGCUUUACACAAAGAAAAUUUCGGUUACGGUGUUGGUAAAGAAAAUUUCGUUUAGAAUAUGUCAAUGCAUUUCUUAUGGUAACGAAAACUCAAAACAUGUGACAUACAUAAAAGCAAUUUUUACCCUAAUGGCCUGAAAAGAUUUAAUCAUAAUGUAAAAACAAUCAAUCCUAAUGUAGUAUGAAGCAUACAUUCAAUGAAUUUCUAUUGGCAUCGAAAAUUUCGCUAAAACUGCGUACAGGCCUUUUGGUGUUGCUCGCCCAGGUCCAAUUUCUAGCGGAUAUAUAAUAACAAACCAAGACGGCACUGAUAUGAAAAGUCCACUGUAGGAUUAUUUUGUAAAUAAAAUCAAAAACCUAAAAUUGUUUAUAAAAUUUGGUGUAGAAUAAGCUGGUAGUCAAGUAAAAUGCACUGUCAACAAAAUUCUGUACACCAUGCAUAUAUGUAUAAGCAAAAUUAUGCACGUUGAGUAUUUAAUACCACAAAUUGUCGAUAAAUUUGACUAUGAGAAAGAAUGUAAGGGUGUAUGUAAAUCAUUUCCUCUAUUAAUUUGUGUUUCGUUUCCCAUGGUUUACUCAAUGAAUUCGGAUGACACAUGGUGUUUGGGUGGAGAUGGGUCUGUGGGGCAAGUAGACAUUACUUAACAUUGGAUUCAUUCAUAAAUGUUGGCUGACUGUGUGCUCCUUCCAUAAGCCGAAGAAAUACAAAGCCAUUCACGAAAUUUAGAUGCAAUUGACCAAAUCUAUAUGUAACAUGUGUUUGUACAUUGCCGUCCCUCCCAAACUCAGCAGUUUGACGACUAACAUCAGUUUUCCAGAAAUACGAGAAAUGACAGGAAAUGCAUAACAUUAACAUCAUCUCAACUUGUGCGUAGGACGACGGUAUUUUCUUUCCAUAGAUCUUGGGUUGUGUGUUGUUCGUGUAAUUGUACAAUUUGUUAUUCCGACUCUUGUACUUUCAUUAAUAAAUAUGCAUAGGUAUGAUUGUAAAAUGUUGUUUAAUUUUUAUCACUUUCGUUUAGAAAUCUGAAAAAUCUUGGUUUAAUUGCUAAUUUGCUCUGCAAUUCACAUUUACAUACAAUACACACACGAAAUUUUACAGUUUCUCAGUCACGUACACUAUUUUUUUUUCUUUAUAUUGGAAUUAAAUGUAUGAAUCUUUUAUGGAAUAAUAUUUGGACGAAUUUAC
rnacentral:sRNA from 1 species